rnacentral:lncRNA from 1 species
AGGCUCCUCCUCCUCCUCUAUGUGGCUGUGAAGCUCCUCCUCCUCCUCUAUGUGGCUGUGAAGCUCCUCCUCCUCUAUGUGGCUGUGAGGCUCCUCCUCCUCUUCUAUGUGGCUGUGAAGCUCCUCCUCCUCUAUGUGGCUGUGAGGCUCCUCCUCCUCCUCUAUGUGGCUGUGAGGCUCCUCCUCCUCUAUGUGGCUGUGAAGCUCCUCCUCCUCUAUGUGGCUGUGAGGCUCCUCCUCCUCUUCUAUGUGGCUGUGAGGCUCCUCCUCCUCCUCUAUGUGGCUGUGAGGCUCCUCCUCCUCUUCUAUGUGGCUGUGAGGCUCCUCCUCC